GUGAAGAGUCAAAUGCUUUUCACUUUAAGGACAAGCUGUGAUGGGGAGCGAAAUUUAGUAGCGAAGCGUCUGAUGUCACACUGCCGAGAAAAGCUUCUAGUGAGUACUUAACUACCCGUACCGCAAACCGACACAGGUAGUCGAGGAGAGAAUCCUAAGGUGAGCGAGUGAACUCUCGUUAAGGAACUCGGCAAAAUGACCCCGUAACUUCGGGAGAAGGGGUGCUGAUCGCAAGAUCAGCCGCAGUGAAUAGGCCCAGGCGACUGUUUAUCAAAAACACAGGUCUCUGCAAAAUCGUAAGAUGACGUAUAGGGGCUGACGCCUGCCCGGUGCUGGAAGGUUAAAAGGAUGGGUUAGCUUCGGCGAAGCUCAGAAUUGAAGCCCCAGUAAACGGCGGCCGUAACUAUAACGGUCCUAAGGUAGCGAAAUUCCUUGUCGGGUAAGUUCCGACCCGCACGAAAGGCGUAACGAUCUGGGCACUGUCUCAACGAGAGACUCGGUGAAAUUAUAUUGUCCGUGAAGAUGCGGACUACCCGCGACAGGACGGAAAGACCCCAUGGAGCUUUACUGUAGCUUGAUAUUGAGUGUUUGUACAGCUUGUACAGGAUAGGUAGGAGCCAUAGAAACCGGAACGCUAGUUUCGGUGGAGGCGUUGGUGGGAUACUACCCUCGCUGUAUGACCACUCUAACCCGCACCACUAAUCGUGGUGGGAGACAGUGUCAGGUGGGCAGUUUGACUGGGGCGGUCGCCUCCUAAAAAGUAACGGAGGCGCCCAAAGGUUCCCUCAGAAUGGUUGGAAAUCAUUCGCAGAGUGUAAAGGCACAAGGGAGCUUGACUGCGAGACAGACAGGUCGAGCAGGGACGAAAGUCGGGCUUAGUGAUCCGGUGGUACCGUAUGGAAGGGCCAUCGCUCAACGGAUAAAAGCUACCCUGGGGAUAACAGGCUUAUCUCCCCCAAGAGUCCACAUCGACGGGGAGGUUUGGCACCUCGAUGUCGGCUCAUCGCAUCCUGGGGCUGUAGUCGGUCCCAAGGGUUGGGCUGUUCGCCCAUUAAAGCGGUACGCGAGCUGGGUUCAGAACGUCGUGAGACAGUUCGGUCCCUAUCCGUCGCGGGCGUAGGAAAUUUGAGAGGACCUGUCCUUAGUACGAGAGGACCGGGAUGGACAUACCUCUGGUGUACCAGUUGUGCCGCCAGGCGCAUCGCUGGGUAGCUACGUAUGGAUGUGAUAAACGCUGAAAGCAUCUAAGUGUGAAACACACCUCGAGAUGAGAUUUCCCAUUCCUUUAUGGAAGUAAGACCCCUGAAAGAUGAUCAGGUAGAUAGGUUAGAAGUGGCAGUGCGGUGACGCAUGAAGCGGACUAAUACUAAUCGGUCGAGGACUUAACCAAG
rnacentral:rRNA from 1 species